AAAAGGGGCUUCUGUCAGGAGUGGCACACGUAGGGCAAUUCAGUUGUUCUGCAUGUAGAAUCGACAUCAAGAGAUUUUGGAAGCCUGAUUUUUUGGUACCUCGGCAGCUGGUGAUUGUUGGUCCCCAAAACAAAC